rnacentral:tRNA from 1 species
UCCCUGGGAGUCCAGCGGUUAAGACUCCUCACUUGCACUGCCGGGGGUGCAGGUUUGAUUCCUGGCCAGGGAA